rnacentral:rRNA from 1 species
GUAGGUGGCAAGCGUUGUCCGGAAUUAUUGGGCGUAAAGCGCGCGCAGGCGGUUCUUUAAGUCUGAUGUGAAAGCCCACGGCUCAACCGUGGAGGGUCAUUGGAAACUGGAGAACUUGAGUACAGAAGAGGAAAGCGGAAUUCCACGUGUAGCGGUGAAAUGCGUAGAGAUGUGGAGGAACACCAGUGGAGAAGGCGGCUUUCUGGUCUGUAACUGACGCUGAGGCGCGAAAGCGUGGGGAGCAAACAGGAUUAGAUACCCUGGUAGUCCACGCCGUAAACGAUGAGUGCUAAGUGUUAGGGGGCUUCCGCCCCUUAGUGCUGCAGCUAACGCAUUAAGCACUCCGCCUGGGAGUACGGCCGCAAGGCUG